rfam:Triticum aestivum genome assembly, contig: Triticum_aestivum_CS42_TGACv1_scaffold_487255_6AS
UUUGUACUCCCUCCGUCCCGAAAAGCUUGUCCCGCAAAUGUAUGUAUCUAGCACCAAGUUAGUGCUAGAUACAUCUAUUUGAUGGACAAGUUUGGGACAAGUUUUUUCGGACAGAGGGAGCAGUAC